CAAUGAUGGGAUAGUAGGAAGAGAGUUUAGCCAAGUGGGUGAAUCUCUGUGCUCUACUUCUAACUGUUUAAUUCAAAGGCCUUCACAACCACAAAUAGAUGUGAAGAUCACUGACGAAGCUGGAACUAAUAAGAAAUUAUUUCCAAGUAAAUACUGAAGUACAUGGAAAACUAUGAUUGCACAAGCUGGCUGGAAUGGCAAUGCCCAGGGUGGCUCUCUACUUACAUAUUGAAGAGAGUGGGGUCUGCAUCAUCCUAGGUCACUGAAUCACUGUGGAACAAAGCCUACUACUCCAGCCUCCACCUUGUGUCAAGCCCAACCAAACUGAAGCCACUUUGGACUCCUUUGUGAGUAAAGGAUAAACAUUUAUUGUAUGGGGCCGUCAUUUGAGCUGAUUAUUAAGAACAAUUCAGUGCACUCUAAAGUACCUA
rnacentral:lncRNA from 1 species